AUUGUUUAAGCUCUCUGAAUGACCUGUGUCUUUCUUAUUAAACUCAUUUAGGAUGGGUACAGUCCUUUCCAAGUAGAUGGCAAGUUCCUUAAAACUCUCUUUCUCAAUGAGUACAUUGUUGGUAGCAAGUGUGAUCUCAAUCACGUCCUCUACAAUCUGGGUAAAGAAUUCUGGUGCGGGGACAGAUGAGGCAGGUGUAAACAUAUCUAAUGCCAUCUUUUAAGAGCCAACAAAAGCUAGAAGGUAAAAACCACCAUGUCUAUUUGAUAAGAACACAGUUGCAAGACAACCGCUUGCAAAAUUUGAUUAGUCAGGUUUCAUAGCUACAUCAACUCUCCUGUUUCGCACUAUAAAAAAGCCUACAUUCAAUCCCAAUUUUGAAUAAGUUUCUGAGAAUAAGCAGCCAGUUAAAACUUCAAAAUACUAAAUUGAUGAAGAAUAUAACUUAUAUACAUAUGGGAUUAAGCGACCAUUUAUUUGAUAAGCAUUAAAAAGAAAAAUGAAAAAAAAAUUCACUUGUUGAAGUUCUUUUUGGUUGCAAAGAGCAUGGGGAAGAAUAAACAUCAGAACGUUUACUUUAUAUCAGGUACCUAAUCCUUUUUUUUUUUGGGAUCAUAGAUGAAUUUCAAUUAUCGGAAAAACAAUAACAACAUUUAUAUUUAUCUCUUUCAUAGUUCAUUCCGUUCUAUAAAAAGAAAGGAUAAAUUCAGAUCGCAACAGAACGGGAAAUUCAACCCAGCAGUUAUGCACAGCAUUCGGAGUUAAUUUGCUUUCUCACGCACUGAACAUGGAAAAAUCGAAGUUUCCAAUAAGAUCACUGCUCUUUCCCUACAUUUGAUCACCAACCAAACUAGAAUGGCCAUACUAAACUCGCGUCAAAUCUUACAAUUUAUCGCAUAAAGCCAUGGAAGCCGAAGUAUAAACGUAUAGGUGCAUAGUUCAACAACAAUUCAACGAAAUAGAGAAAAAAGAAAGAUCAGUAGUGGGUGUUUCCUCAAUUCAAAGCUAGAAAUGCAAUUCAAAGAAACAGGAAACGCAAAACCAAACUAAUCGAACUAAAGUAAGAACAUAGUCAACAUUCAACAAGCUAUCAAAACGUUGAAUCACACUAACGAAAUCAAAGUUCCAAUAAAGCAGGAGAGAAAGAGACCUGAAGAGAAAGUAAGUGACCAUGAAAAUACAUAGAAGCUCUCCAGGAAAAAGCGCCAAGAAUUUGCGGGAAAAUACGCAAUGGAGCCGCCGGACCAAAAAGACCCAAAAUAAAACUAUAAAAAU
rnacentral:misc_RNA from 1 species